AAGGGCUGGAAAGGGAGAGAGAAGCAGGAAAUGAGGCCUUGUUAGCAUCCUAGAGUGAGUGUGAGCUGGCAUCUGCAGCCCUUUGGGUGUCUGUCAUCUUUUCACGGCCCUCCCCAGAAGUCCCACCAGACUUCACCUCCCCAGCAUGCCCCUGGAUAAGCUACCACCUCUACCAUUUGUAAAGACUCUUUCUUAUCUAUUCCAGUUUUUUCCAAGUAGAGUAAGAUUAUGCUGAGAGGCAUACUCUUGUGGGCUUGGGGAUGCAAAACCACAAAAUAGAUGGCUUACGUCUUCUUGAAAGAGGGCUCAUUUUACUCAAAGAAAUGACCAGAAAAUGUGAGCCUCCUUCUAUCACUAUUUUCAGCAGUAUUAAUUAAAAACAUAAUUUAUAAUAAAAUAGAUGCAAAUAUGUUAGGAAGCUGAAUGUAGACUGCCCAAGAGGCAUUAAGAUCAAACAUAAGAACUCAUAGAAAUUUGGCACCAUGGUCUGUGUGUGAUGGUGGACUCCCUCUCACGAGAAGGGCAGAUGUAUUUGAUGUCACACAUUUUACAUGUUUGUUUUCUUCUUUUGCUCUCUAAACAAUAAGUGAGGUAGGUAUUAUUGUUCUCACUCUACAGAUGAAGACGCUGAGACUCAAAGACAAGGACUUGCCCAAAAUCACACUGGCACAGAGUAGAUGAUUUAAAUCUAAGUUGGCUCUGUGUUUUUGUUUGUUUGUGAUGGAGUCUGGCUCUGUCACCCAGGCUGGAGUGCAGUGGUGUGAUCUUGGCUCACUGCAACCUCUGCCUCCUGGGUUCAAGCAAUUCUCCUGCCUCAGCCUCCCGAGUAGCUGGGACCAUAGAUGCCUGCCACCACACCCGGCUGAUUUUUUGUAUUUUAGUAGACACGGGGUUUCACUGUAUUGCCCAGGCUGGUCUUGAACUCCUGAGUUCAGGCCAUCCGCCCGCCAGGGCCUCCCAAAGUGCUGGGAUUACAGGCGUGAGCCACUGUACCCGGCCCAGCUCUGUGGUUUUUUACUUCAUCACUCUUGGCUGUUCCAGCAUAUACUGAUUUAUUUCUUUUAUGUGUUUUUCCACCCCUGGGACACUCCAAAGAUGAAGAAACGAUAACAGAGUCAAGCCAUUAUUUAUCUGAACCCAGAGCCUUUUUAGGGGAAAGUCCAGAAGUCUCUUGGAUUCCCCAGUAACUUGUAUUUCCUCAUCCUCACAUUGUAUUCUGUGGUCUGUUUCUGUUUCUGUUGCUGGUGCAAGACUGUGAGCUCUUCAUGGACAUGGGCAAUGUCUAGUUUGUCUUUGUCUCCCAAUCACCUCGUUUAAGGCUGCACUCAACUGUGGCCCUUAGUAACAUUUCUGAAGUGGAAUGUAAUUGUACCAGCAUAGUGGCAAGGGCAGUUGGCAGGUAUUGAGAAAACCUCGGUUCUAGUCCUCCCAACCUCAGCCAAGGGGGUGGUUACUUAGCGGUUUUGGUUAAGUGGCUUUAUCUCCUCUAGGCCUCAGGAUUCCCACUAAUGAAAUAAAGAGGUUAGAUUGGCUCAUUGAUUUCUCAAAACAGUGAACCUACUCCUCUCCUCACCAUCAAAUGCACUAUUGUGUGACCUUUCCAUAGAGAAAGCGGAUAAAAGUGAAACCACUCUGAUUAAAGUGAUGGUUGGGGUCUCUAAAGCUCAGCGACUCAUUCCUGGGAAAGAGGUGUCAUUUGAUUAAGAAUUUUGCAUCUAAGCACAGCAUCUGUGAUGCAGUAGUCUCCCCUUACCAUCCUCACUGCUCCAGAGAGAACCGAGCUGCAUCCCAUGUGGCAUUCCUGGCUUUUGCAUCUCUGUUUCAAAUUCUCACUCACAGAACCUUUGCACCCGAAACUCAUGAUGUCAGAUUUCAUUUCUUCACUCCACUAUUCGAGUCUAAAAAGAUCACAGCUAGACAGAGCUCUAAGAGCAAGGAAGACCUGAGCUCAGGUGUGUGAGUGUGCAUGCCACUGGCUGUGGGUUCAGGUGGAACUCUGCUGUGUGACCACCAGAACGAACACUUCACAUUCACAUUAGAGCAGUGGGGUACAGGAUAAACCCUUUCUUUUCCUUCCUGCCUCAGGAGGUCUGCCUAUGGGCUAUGUUCUUUUUUAUGUAAUAAAUGAACAGACUAAUGAUGGAGACUAAUUGUCCCUUCCUUCGGAUAAAACGAACUGGCUUGGUAAAGAAGUAGCUAGGGAAAAAGAGAAAAAUUAAAUGAAGGUGAUAUUUUUCUAUUUGGGCCCUGAAAAAAUUCUCCAGUCCCAUCACUACCUACUCUAUCUGACAUGUUCUUUCCUGCAACCAUACCCUUUCAUCUCCCUAUCCAUCCAUCCAUUUAUCUUUAUUCAAUCCUAUGUAUUUAAUUCCUACUAUGUGUCACACAUUUUGCUAAGGAAAGGGAUGCAAUGGUGAAUCAAUAACACAUAAAGUUCCUACCCCUCCAGACCUUAUACUCCAGUGAAGAGACAGAUUUUAAUCACAUAAUCACACAUCUAACUAACCCAUUUUAACUCCAGUAAGAGCUAUGGAGAAGAGGUACAUGAUGCCAUCAAGUGUAGAAAGAUUUGAUCUGGACAGGGAGCUCAGCGAAGGUGUCCCUGAGGAAAUGGUGCUUCAGCUGAGAUCAUAAAGAUGAAUAGGAGUUAAUUAGAUGGGGUUGGAGAAGAGAAAAUUUCUAGAGAUAGGGAAUAACAUGAGAAAAACUCUGCUACCUGGAGAUUUCUCCCAUCUUUGGUGUAUCUCAUGUUGCUACUUCUACUAGUAAUGCAUCCAGACAAACAAACCAUCCUUCAUGAUCUAGCUCAAAUGUUACCUCUCCAAAAUGCCAUCCCUCAUAGCCUCAGGAUGCUCUGUGCUGCCAUAGCUUCUUGUAUUUGAUUUGGUGAUAGCUCUUCAGUAUUUUAGAAUUUUCUCAUUAAUUGUAUAUCUCUUUCAUUAUACUGUGUGAGCAUCAUCCAUUUUUGUAUUCUAGAUUCCUAGCAAAAUGUCUGGCAUUUGUGCAAAUAUAGAUUCCAUAAAUGUUUAUUUAGUAAAACAAUGGAUGGAUGGGUAGAUGGAUGGAUGAAUGGAUGGAUGGAUGGAUGGAUGGAUGGAUGACUGGCAAGAAGAUACCAUAGAUGACUCAAGGAGAGCAUAGUUACUAUUUUCACUGGACUAAGACCAAUAUAUUCCCAGAACUGGAACAAUAUCUGGCAUAUAAGAGGUUCUCAGUGAAGCUUUGAUGAACAAGUGAGUGAAUGAUCACUUUGGACUCAGCAUGGUAUAGAGAACAGGGGCUCAGUGGUCCCCAAACACUUUGUCUUGGCUACCUCUGGAUACUUUAGGUUGAUGGUCCCAGAAUUUGUAUCUCUUCUAAGAAUACUUUUCAGCUACAGACAAGGAACUAUUAGAACUAAGCUAAAGAGGAAAGGAGAUGAGGGGCACCUGCAAGGGCAAAGGCGAUAAGCAUCACUGGCAGGGCUCAGAGCCUGACAGGUGAGGGUCUCUUGGGCCUCACUACUGAGUCCAAGAAGGGAUUGAAUUCUGCUGUCACACUGGUUGCCCAGACCGCCAACUCAGCAGAAUGAGUGCCCAGGUAACUCAAGCUUUCUUUUCCCCAAAUGCUGGACUGAUCCAGAGAGAUAGAAGUAAGCAACAGCCACAGGGCCUUGGCUUUGAUUUUGCCACUCCCAACUGAAGCUUGGGAGAAUGAGGUUCCAAAAGUCAAGUACAAUGUCAAAUGCCCUCAGGAAAUCCCCCAAGAAUGUAUAGAAAGAAAUGUGUGACCUAGGGAUUGUCUGGUGACACUUGGAGGUCAGGGAAUGGAUCCUAGGCAGGUAGUAGGAGAAAAGCACCAGCAUAGACGUUAGAAGAGCUAGGCUUGUAUUUUGUCUUUGUGGUUAUCAUGCUGUGCUGACUUGGACAACUCAUCCUCUCUCUGGCCCUCGUUUUCUACACCAAGAAAAUAGAGCUUGAUCAAAUGAAAAGCCUUCCUUGUUCUGACAUGGCAUCAAAUUUUAGAUCCAGCCACUGCCUGGGUCUCUGUUUACCCAUUUUAAAAAUAAAAGGUUAGUUGAGAUUAGGCAAAAGAGCCUUGCUGGUUCUGGCAUUCUAAGAAGUUUCAUCAAAUACAACUUUUCCUAGGGCAUGGUCUGAUCCUUUUCACCUGUGUUUUCCUCAGUGGGCUCUGGAUGAGUUACAGAGAUUUGGCCAUCCACCUGUAAGGGAUUUGGGGCUGCUUUUUCACUGCCAGAUGGGAAGAGCCACAAGGGGCAGAGUGACGUGCAGAAAUGUCUUUGAGUUCUGUGGACAGCCCUCCCAUGAGGACACAGCUGAGGUCCCAAGAACCAUGCCCCUUGAGUCCUGCCAAGCUUGUCACUGAUACACAGAGCCAGAUCUCUGUAAUUCCAAGUUCUGGGGAAUGGCUCAACUGUGAAGUCACAGAAUUUAGGGGUCAUAAAGGCUCUUCCACUUCAGCCCAAUGGUAUAUCUAAGGCAUUCAUAUUCCUUUUGGGGUUGAGGCAUGAGUAAAUGGCUAGGAUGUGGGGCAGAAGGCAUAGGUCUGCGAGUAAAGGUCAUCUGUAAAAUGGGCAUUAAAGACAAAACCACCUUACCCGACUCUGUAAAGGUUAAAUGUAAUAAUGUUGGUAAAUUUCCAAAUUAGCAUAUUCUAGAUGUAGGUAUGGCAAAGGAUAACCAACAUUAAUACAACAAUAACAAUAACAACAGCAGGAUUAUUUCCAGGGAACUGAAGAGUGCCUUCCCUGUGACUCACCUCACAGCCUUUGACACAGUGAAUCAGAGCAGGGUGAGGAUACCACUUGAGACCAGCAGUGCAGACAACUCUCUGUGGGAAGAGAGACAGAGAGAAACAAGGGUUGAGGAGAAGCAGAACUGGGAGGUGGAGACAUGAUCAGAAAGGCCCUUCAGAAAAUUCUCAACUGAUGUUUGAUCCAUUCGUGGAGUUGAGAUAAGGUUGGAGGAGGAGGGGUGUGUGUGCAUGCAGGUGUGUGUUUGCAUGUGUGCAUGUGUAUGUGUGCAUUCAUGUUGUAUGCGUGUGGCUGCGGCAGGAAGAUGGGAGAAAAGUGUGGAGCAGUGUUUCUCAAAGCAUGAGCUGAAGACCACUUUCAUCAGCACUGGUGUUGAAAGUGCUGAUGAAACACCACUCCAUGGGAGUGUGUUAAAAUGAUGAACAUACUCCAUGGGAGUGUGUUAAAAUGGCAGAUUCCUCAGCCCUGCUUUGGAUUUAAUGAAUUGGACUCUCUGAGGCCACGCCCUGAUGCUCUGCAUUUUAGCAAGCCUUUCAGAUGAUUCCAAUGCACACUACAGUCUGAGAGCAAAUGGGUUGCUGGACGGAUGAACCAACCUGCGGCUCAAACCCCUGGAAAAACAGAGAACUCCUCCUGCUGUCACCUGCUGCCAUGUCAUACGGGUCUGCCCGUGGUUACCUGAGGUUGCCCACAGUGAAUUCAUUCUUGCUCUGCCCCUUCCCUGAAUGUCCUUCCCCAUUUUGUCAUUUUGAGAAUCUUUAAAAUGUCUGCUCAAAACUUAUGUCUUCUGUGGUACUUUUCCUAGCCCCAUCAGGCAGAGCUUAUAGGCACUUAUUUAUAGCCUCCUUUUUAAAAAUAAUGA